rnacentral:rRNA from 1 species
GUCGAUCCUGCCGGACCCGACUGCUAUCAGAGUGGGACUAAGCCAUGCGAGUCAACAUAGCAAUAUGUGGCAUACGGCUCAGUAACACGUAGUCAACAUGCCCAGGGGACGUGGAUAACCUCGGGAAACUGAGGAUAAACCGCGAUAAGUCACUACUUCUGGAAUGGGUAAUGACUCAAAUCUAUAUGGCCCCUGGAUUGGACUGCGGCCGAUCAGGCUGUUGGUGAGGUAAUGGCCCACCAAACCUGUAACCGGUACGGGCUCUGAGAGGAGGAGCCCGGAGAUGGGCACUGAGACAAGGGCCCAGGCCCUAUGGGGCGCAGCAGGCGCGAAACCUCUGCAAUAGGCGAAAGCUUGACAGGGUUACUCUGAGUGAUUUCCGUUAAGGAAAUCUUUUGGCACCUCUAAAAAUGGUGCAGAAUAAGGGGUGGGCAAGUCUGGUGUCAGCCGCCGCGGUAAUACCAGCACCCCGAGUGGUCGGGACGUUUAUUGGGCCUAAAGCAUCCGUAGCCGGUUCUACAAGUCUUCCGUUAAAUCCAACUGCUUAACAGGUGGGCUGCGGAAGAUACUAUAGAGCUAGGAGGCGGGAGAGGCAAGCGGUACUCGAUGGGUAGGGGUAAAAUCCGUUGAUCCAUUGAAGACCACCAGUGGCGAAGGCGGCUUGCCAGAACGCGCUCGACGGUGAGGGAUGAAAGCUGGGGGAGCAAACCGGAUUAGAUACCCGGGUAGUCCCAGCUGUAAACGAUGCAGACUCGGUGAUGAGUUGGCUAUAUGCCAACUCAGUGCCGCAGGGAAGCCGUUAAGUUUGCCGCCUGGGGAGUACGGUCGCAAGACUGAAACUUAAAGGAAUUGGCGGGGGAGCACCACAAGGGGUGAAGCCUGCGGUUCAAUUGGAGUCAACGCCGGG